rnacentral:rRNA from 1 species
UACGUAGGGUGCGAGCGUUAAUCGGAAUUACUGGGCGUAAAGCGUGCGCAGGCGGUUCGUUGUGUCGGCGGUGAAAGCCCCGGGCUCAACCUGGGAAUGGCCGUUGAAACUGGCGAACUGGAGUGUGGCAGAGGGGGGUGGAAUUCCGCGUGUAGCAGUGAAAUGCGUAGAUAUCGGGAGGAACAUCAGUGGCGAAGGCGGCCUUCUGGUCCAGUACUGACACUCAAGUGCGAAAGCGUGGGGAGCAAACAGG